CCUACGGGGGGCAGCAGUGAGGAAUAUUGGUCAAUGGGCGGGAGCCUGAACCAGCCAAGUCGCGUGAGGGAAGAAGGUCCUAUGGAUUUUAAACCCCUUUAGGCGGGGAGCAAUGCCGGGCACGCGUGCCCGGAGGGAGAGUACCCGCCGAAUAAGCAUCGACUAACUCCGUGCCAGCAGCCGCGGUAAUACGUAGGGUGCGAGCGUUAUCCGGAUUUAUUGGGUUUUAUGGGUGCGUAGGCGGUUCUUUAAGUCAGCGGUAACAUGUCGGGGCUCAACCCGGGCCGGCCGUUGAAACUGGGGAUCUUGAGUGGGCUAGAAGUAUGCGGAAUGCGUGGUGUAGCGGUGAAAUGCUUAGAUAUGACGAAGAACGCCGGUUGCGAAGGCAGCUUACUAAACUGCCACUGACAUUGAGGCUCGAAAGUGUGGGUAGCAAACAGGAUUAGAUACCCCGGUAGUC
rnacentral:rRNA from 1 species